UUUUCAAUUAACUCUGAAAAUUUUAACACCAAAUAGGCAUUCUGCAUGAGCCCAAUCUUGUUAUCUCUAAGUCACGUCCUACAGAUGGGGAGACUGAGGCCCAGAGAGCAGGCCUAGCUGGCUGCAGUCAGAAAACCUGACUUGUUCCUCUCCCCUCGCUGGUCAGGGCUGGACUCCCUCUCACCUUCGAACUGGAGCUGGGUUUCCCAGGGCUGGAGGAGGAGCAGCAGUAUGGGCAGUGGUGAGCGUGGAAGGCCCCUCAUGGCACUCGGGGGGGACAGAAAACAGCGUGUCAGAGCCUGGAGGGAGGAAAGGAAAUGGCAAAACAAUAGGAUCUGCAGGACUCUCGUGCUGGGUGCUGGGCACCUGGGGUGUAGGAGGUUCCUGGGUUUAUUUUACUGAUCUCUCUGCUUUUGUGUAUCUUUUCACAAGAAUUAAUUUUCAUUACAGUGA